rnacentral:tRNA from 1 species
GGAAGGGGAGCGUUCCUGGUGGUGCGGCCGCACUUCAAGCCCGGUGAGGAAGUCAGCCGCUCCCGGGUGGGUUUGACUCCCAUUCCCUCCC